GGGGGUAGGGAGGUUGGGGAGGGAUAACAUGGGGAAAAAUGCCAGAUAUAGGUGAUAGGAGGAUGAAGCCAGCAAACCACCUUUCCAUUUAUGUACCUAUGCAACAAUCCUGAAUGAUCUGCACAUGUACCCCAGAACCUAAAUUACAAUUAAAAA